CUACGGGUGGCAGCAGUAGGGAAUCUUCCGUCAAUGGACGAAAGUCUGACGGAGCAACGCCGCGUGAGUGAUGAAGGUUUUCGGAUCGUAAAGCUCUGUUGCCAGGGAAGAAUGCUUGGGAGAGUAACUGCUCCCAAGGUGACGGUACCUGAGAAGAAAGCCCCGGCUAACUACGUGCCAGCAGCCGCGGUAAUACGUAGGGGGCAAGCGUUGUCCGGAAUUAUUGGGCGUAAAGCGCGCGCAGGCGGCCUUGUAAGUCUGUUGUUUAAACUUGGGGCUCAACCCCAAGUCGCAAUGGAAACUGCAAAGCUUGAGUACAGAAGAGGAAAGUGGAAUUNCCACGUGUAGUCGGUGAAAUGCGUAGAGAUGUGGAGGAACACCCAGUGGCGAAGGCGACUUUCUGGGCUGUAAGCUGAACNACUGAGGGCGGNCCAAAAGACGGGGGCGCCAA
rnacentral:rRNA from 1 species